AAUGAACGCUGGCGGCAUGCCUAACACAUGCAAGUCGAACGAGACCUCCGGGUCUUGUGGCGCACGGGUGCGUAACGCGUGGGAACCUGCCCUUAGGUUCGGAAUACCUCCCCGAAAGGGGUGCCAAUACCGGAUAAUGUCUUAGGACCAAAGAUUUAUUGCCUUUGGAUGGGCCCGCGUUGGAUUCGCUAGUUGGUAGGGUAAAAGCCUACCAAGGCGACGAUCCAUAGCUGGUCUGCGAGGAUGAUCAGCCACACUGGGACUGAGACACGGCCCAGACUCCUACGGGGAGGAGCAGUGGGGAAUAUUGGACAAUGGGGGAAGGGCUGAUGCAGCAAUGUCGGGUGAGUGAUGAAGGGCUUAGGGUUGUAAAGCCCUUUUACCCGGGAUGAUAAUGACGGUACCGGGAGAAUAAGCUCCGGCUAACUACGUG
rnacentral:rRNA from 1 species